rnacentral:rRNA from 1 species
AUUGAACGCUAGCGGGAUGCCUUACACAUGCAAGUCGAACGGAGUGGCGAACGGGUGAGUAAUGUAUCGGAACGUGCCCAGUAGCGGGGGAUAACUACGCGAAAGCGUAGCUAAUACCGCAUACUAUUGGAGCGGCCGAUAGCGGAUUAGCUAGUUGGUGGGGUAACGGCUCACCAAGGCGACGAUCCGUAGCUGGUUUGAGAGGACGACCAGCCAAACUGGGACGGAGACACGGCCCAGAGUCCUACGGGAGGCAGCAGUGGGGAAUAUUGGACAAUGGGGGAAACCCUGAUGCAGCAAUGCCGCGUGUGCGAUGAAGGCCUUCGGGUUGUAAAGCACUUUUGGCGGGGAGGCGGUACCUGAAGAAGAAGCACCGGCUAACUACGUGCCAGCAGCCGCGGUAAUUC